GUACUCGAGUAGGGAGUCUGGCCUAGUGAAAGUCUCUGUUUCCUCCUUUUCUUACUUUUCACUCAAUAAAACCCUGCUUUACACACCCUUCAAACCAUCUGUGAGCCUGAAUUUUUACGGCCAUGGGACAGACAAGGAUCCUGUCUUUAUCUAAACUAAGGAAAAGUCCUGCAACAUUUGUGGUGCACAACGUGGGGCUCGAGAAGUGGAAAACGCCUAUUUUGGAGUGAAACCAGGGCCGCCUUAUGAGCUAAACAGAGUGUGUUACAGCUUCAAUAGACUAAACAAGCUCUAAAUUUAUCUUCCUAUGGUCACGGGAUCUCAUAUAUUCUGGCUGUCAUUGUCAUAAUAAGCCACUCUUGGUCAUAUGGAAAAGCAUUCAGCUGCUCCCUGCCUUUGCUCACAGCGUGUGGUACUCUCUUAGAAGCUAUUCCUGGUUCAUUGGUAAUUUGCUAAAAGAAUGCCAGUGGGAACAGAACAGAAGCAUUUUCAAGAUUAAAUUGGCAAUGGUUGUGACUGAUUGGAUGAAGGAAGUAAGGGGGAGAGAUUCAUCAGAGAAAGAAGGCUUCUUUAAGCAGCAGAAUUGAGGAAUGAGUCAGAAAAUAAAAGAGCAAACAGGAUGAGAUGGUAACACCAGAGGUCUCAGUAACAACGCUUCAGGGAAAUAUUUUUAGGAUCUGACACAUUCAGCAGAGAAAAGGAAGAUGAAAAACUGGCCUUUUCCUGAAAAUGUGAUAAAAGCAACAUCACACUGGAAGAAAACUAACAGAGAAUGGAGGUUGAUCCACCUAAGAGACCUGUAGGUCAACACAUAUUCAAGUGCAGAUCAGAGAAUGAGCCUCCCCAGAAGAGGAAGCAGGAGAUCUGAAAGAGAAAUCUUUUCACAGAAAGGAAGUGCUCUGUUUAACAGAGCUUGACUUUAGCAUCAGUCAAUUCAGGCAGCUCUACACAGAAGAGAGCAUCUUGCCCCAGUGUCCACAGAGAGCAGGCACUUCCUGGACCCUUGAGCAAACAUGCCAGGAGGUCACUUAAAACAGCGACUCUUCCUUGGUUGUACAAAAUGAAUGGUACCAAGAAAAAAUUUUCUUUCCUUGGAGGAAAAUUAGAUUCAUUACAAGCAUUUUUUUUUUUAAAGCAACAAAUGGAACCCAGUUGUAAAAAAAAAAAAAAUAAAGAAAAGAAA
ensembl:lncRNA LINC02008 long intergenic non-protein coding RNA 2008